UACGUAGGUGUCGAGCGUUGUCCGGAUUUAUUGGGCGUAAAGAGCUCGUAGGUGGUUCGUUACGUCGGAUGUGAAAAUCUGGGGCUCAACCCCAGACCUGCAUUCGAUACGGGCGAACUAGAGUGUGGUAGGGGAGACUGGAAUUCCUGGUGUAGCGGUGGAAUGCGCAGAUAUCAGGAGGAACACCAAUGGCGAAGGCAGGUCUCUGGGCCAUUACUGACACUGAGGAGCGAAAGCGUGGGGAGCGAACAGGAUUAGAAACCCC
rnacentral:rRNA from 1 species